rnacentral:rRNA from 1 species
GACGAACCGAGCGAACGUUGUUCGGAAUCACUGGGCUUAAAGGGCGCGUAGGCGGAUUCAAAAGUCCGGGGUGAAAUCCCUCGGCUCAACCGAGGAAGUGCACUCGAUACUGUGUCGCUUGAGUGUUGGAGGGGAUGGCGGAAUUCCCGGUGUAGAGGUGAAAUUCGUAGAUAUUCGGAGGAACACCAGUGGCGAAGGCGGCUCACUGGUCCGGUACUGACGCUGAGGUGCGAAAGCGUGGGGAGCAAACAGG